rnacentral:rRNA from 1 species
GACGAACGCUGGCGGCGUGCUUAACACAUGCAAGUCGAGCGGUAAGGCCCUUUCGGGGGUACGACGAGCGGCGAACGGGUGAGUAACACGUGGGUGACCUGCCCUCCAGCUCUGGGAUAAGCCUGGGAAACCGGGGUCUAAUACCGGAUAUGACUCCAUGACGCAUGUUGUGGGGUGGAAAGCCUUGUGCGGCUGAGGAUGGGCCCGCGGCCUAUCAGCUUGUUGGUGGGGUGAUGGCCUACCAAGGCGACGACGGGUAGCCGGCCUGAGAGGGCGA